rnacentral:rRNA from 1 species
CAGUAGCCGCGGUAAUACAGAGGGUGCAAGCGUUAAUCGGAAUUACUGGGCGUAAAGCGUGCGCAGGCGGUUGUGUAAGACAGAUGUGAAAUCCCCGGGCUCAACCUGGGAACUGCAUUUGUGACUGUAUAGCUAGAGUACGGCAGAGGGGGAUGGAAUUCCGCGUGUAGCAGUGAAAUGCGUAGAUAUGCGGAGGAACACCGAUGGCGAAGGCAAUCCCCUGGGCCUGUACUGACGCUCAUGCACGAAAGCGUGGGGAGCAAACAGGAUUAGAUACCCGUGUAGUCCCUGUCUCUUAUAC